rnacentral:rRNA from 1 species
AUUGAACGCUGGCGGCAGGCCUAACACAUGCAAGUCGAGCGGAGCGGCGGACGGGUGAGUAAUGCAUAGGUAUCUGCCUGGUAGUGGGGGAUAACGUCCGGAAACGGGCGCUAAUACCGCAUACUAUCAGAUGAGCCUAGGUCGGAUUGGCCGGUUGGUGGGGUAAAGGCCUACAAAGGCGCGGAUCAGUAACUGGUCUGAGAGGAUGAUCAGGCACACUGGAACUGAGACACGGUCCAGCUUCCUAGGGUAGGCAGAAGUGGGGAAUAUUGGACAAGGGGGGAAAGCCUGAUCCAGCCAUGCCGCGUGUGUGAAGAGGGUCUUCGGAUUGUAAAGCACUUUAAGUUGGGAGGCGUUACCUACAGAAUAAGCACCGGCUAACUUCGUGCCAGCAGCCGCGGUAAUAC